rnacentral:rRNA from 1 species
AUUGAACGCUGGCGGCAUGCCUUACACAUGCAAGUCGAACGGUAACAGGUCUUCGGAUGCUGACGAGUGGCGAACGGGUGAGUAAUACAUCGGAACGUGCCCGAUCGUGGGGGAUAACGGAGCGAAAGCUUUGCUAAUACCGCAUACGAUCUACGGAUGAAAGCAGGGGGACCGCAAGGGCCUUGCGCGGACGGAGCGGC